rnacentral:rRNA from 1 species
AUCUAUGGUCAUACCACCCUGAACAUGCCCUAUCUCGUCUGAUCUCAGAGGCUAAGCAGGGUUGGACGGUUAGUACUUAGAUG